rnacentral:piRNA from 1 species
UAGAUUUCAGGUACUGUGCAAAAUA